GACAGAGGUUGCAAACGUUGUUCGGAAUCACUGGGCAUAAAGCGCACGUAGGCGGUCUGUUAAGUCAGGUGUGAAAGCCCCCGGCUCAACCGGGGAACAGCAUUUGAUACUGGCAGACUCGAGGAUGGUAGGGGUGAGUGGAACUCCAGGUGGAGCGGUGAAAUGCGUAGAUAUCUGGAGGAACACCGGUGGCGAAAGCGGCUCACUGGACCAUAACUGACGCUGAGGUGCGAAAGCUAGGGUAGCAAACGGG
rnacentral:rRNA from 1 species